CUGCAAUCCAUGAACCAGUUUAGUAGCCCUUCUCUGAACUCUCUCUAAAGUAUCAAUAUCUUUCUGAAGAUACGGUCUCCAGUACUGCGUACAAUACUCCAAGCAAGGUCUCACCAGUGUUCUAUACAAUGGCAUGAGCACUUCCCUCUUUAUACGGCUAAUACCUCUACCUAUACAACCAAGCAUUCUGCUAGCAUUUCCUGCUGCUCUAUUACAUUGUCUGCCUACCUUUAAGUCAUCAGAAGUAAUCACUCCUAAAUCCCUUUCCUCAUAUGUUGAGGUUAGAACUCUAUCAAAUAUUCUGUACUCUGCCCUUGGGUUUUUACGUCCAAGAUGCAUUAUCUUGCACUUA